GAUGAACGCUGGCGGCGUGCCUAAUACAUGCAAGUCGAGCGAACAGACGAGGAGCUUGCUCCUCUGACGUUAGCGGCGGACGGGUGAGUAACACGUGGAUAACCUACCUAUAAGACUGGGAUAACUUCGGGAAACCGGAGCUAAUACCGGAUAAUAUAUUGAACCGCAUGGUUCAAUAGUGAAAGACGGUUUUGCUGUCACUUAUAGAUGGAUCCGCGCCGCAUUAGCUAGUUGGUAAGGUAACGGCUUACCAAGGCAACGAUGCGUAGCCGACCUGAGAGGGUGAUCGGCCACACUGGAACUGAGACACGGUCCAGACUCCUACGGGAGGCAGCAGUAGGGAAUCUUCCGCAAGGGGCGAAAGCCUGACGGAGCAACGCCGCGUGAGUGAUGAAGGUCUUCGGAUCGUAAAACUCUGUUAGUAGGGAAGAACAAAUGUGUAAGUAACUAUGCACGUCUUGACGGUACCUAAUCAGAAAGCCACGGCUAACUACGUG
rnacentral:rRNA from 1 species